rnacentral:rRNA from 1 species
UCUAAAACCGGUACCCAGUUCGGAUUGCAGGCUGCAACUCGCCUGCAUGAAGUUGGAGUUGCUAGUAAUCGCGGAUCAGAAUGCCGCGGUGAAUGCGUUCCCGGGUCUUGUACACACCGCCCGUCACACCAUGGAAGUUGGGGCGCCCAAAGUUGGUCAAGAAGAGAUUACCUAAGGCGAAACCAAUGACUGGGGUGAAGUCGUAACAAGGUAAC